rnacentral:rRNA from 1 species
GACGAACGCUGGCGGCGUGCUUAACACAUGCAAGUCGAACGAUGAAGCCCAGCUUGCUGGGUGGAAGAGUGGCGAACGGGUGAGUAACACGUGAGUAACCUGCCCUGAACUCUGGGAUAAGCACUGGAAACGGUGUCUAAUACUGGAUACGACCUAUCACCGCAUGGUGUGUGGGUGGAAAGAUUUAUCGGUUCUGGAUGGACUCGCGGCCUAUCAGCUAGAUGGUGAGGUAAUGGCUCACCAUGGCGACGACGGGUAGCCGGCCUGAGAGGGUGACCGGCCACACUGGGACUGAGACACGGCCCAGACUCCUACGGGAGGCAGCAGUGGGGAAGAUUGCACAAUGGGCGCAAGCCUGAUGCAGCAACGCCGCGUGAGGGAUGACGGCCUUCGGGUUGUAAACCUCUUUUAGUAGGGAAGAAGCGAAAGUGACGGUACCUGCAGAAAAAGCACCGGCUAACUACGUG